rnacentral:rRNA from 1 species
UACGUAGGGUGCAAGCGUUGUCCGGAAUUAUUGGGCGUAAAGAGCUCGUAGGCGGUUUGUCGCGUCGAAUGUGAAAACCCGGGGCUCAACCCCGGGCCUGCAUUCGAUACGGGCAGACUAGAGUUCGGUAGGGGAGACUGGAAUUCCUGGUGUAGCGGUGAAAUGCGCAGAUAUCAGGAGGAACACCGGUGGCGAAGGCGGCCAGCUGGGCCGUCCCUGACACUGAGGCGCGAAGGCGUGGGGAGCGAACGGG